rnacentral:rRNA from 1 species
CCUACGGGAGGCAGCAGUGGGGAAUAUUGCACAAUGGGGGAAACCCUGAUGCAGCGACGCCGCGUGAGUGAAGAAGUAUCUCGGUACGUAAAGCUCUGUCAGCAGGGAAGAAAAUGACGGUACCUGACUAAGAAGCCCCGGCUAACUACGUGCCAGCAGCCGCGGUAAU